rnacentral:rRNA from 1 species
CCCCUAGUAACUGCGAGUGAAGCGGGAAAAGCUCAAAUUUAAAAUCUGAUAGUCCUUGACUGUCCGAGUUGUAAUCUAGAGAAGUGUUAUCCGUGCUGGACCGUGUACAAGUCUCCUGGAAUGGAGCGUCAUAGAGGGUGAGAAUCCCGUCUUUGACACGGACUACCAGUACAUUGUGAUGCGCUCUCAAAGAGUCGAGUUGUUUGGGAAUGCAGCUCAAAAUGGGUGGUAAAUUCCAUCUAAAGCUAAAUAUUGGCGAGAGACCGAUAGUGAACAAGUACCGUGAGGGAAAGAUGAAAAGAACUUUGGAAAGAGAGUUAAACAGUACGUGAAAUUGUUGAAAGGGAAACGCUUGAAGUCAGUCACACUGAUCAGGGAUCAACUCAACUCUUUUGUUGGGCGUACUUUCUGGUUAGUGGGUCAGCAUCAAUUUUGACCACUGGAAAAAGGCUAAGGGAAUGUGGCACCUCUGGGUGUGUUAUAGCCCUAGUUGUAUACAGUGGUUGGGAUUGAGGAACUCAGCACGCCGCAAGGCCAGGGUAUUUCCCAUGUUCGUGCUUAGGAUGCUGGCAUAAUGGCUUUAAUCGACCCGUCUUGAAACACGGACCAAGGAGUCUAACAUGCCUGCAAGUGUUUGGGUGGAAAACUCGAGCGCAUAAUGAAAGUGAAAGUUGAGAUCCCUGUCAUGGGGAGCAUCGACGCCCAGACCUGAACUUUUGGGAUGGAUCUGCGGUAGAGCAUGUAUGUUGGGACCCGAAGAUGGUGAACUAUGCCUGAAUAGGGUGAAGCCAGAGGAAACUCUGGUGGAGGCUCGUA